AGCAAAAAAUUAAUUAAAAUAUUUUAGCAAUACAAAAAAAUUAAUUGUGGAUAAUGAUUGUGUUUUGAUGUAUUGAAGCAUAUUUUUUGCACUGGAAAAUACAGAGGCAGGGUUGUUAAUACUACCCCUUGUGGAAUUUUAUGGUGUGAAAACAAUAUUACGCUACAUAUGGCAAUUCCAACUGGAGAUCUAUUUUGGUUAGAUCGGGCUUUGAUAUUAAAUACUAUUAGUAUAUUUGUAUUUCAAAUGAAUAGUUUGCUGACUGUUAACACGGCAAAACGUGCUCCGCGGAAUUGGCACAAGCAUUGGACAAAAAAUUUUAAAUAAAAAAUAUUAAUUAUAAAAAAAAUUAUUACAUAAAUAAAAACAAAAGCUAAUUAAAUAAAGAGAUAAUGUGCAAAAAAAUAAUUUUAACAAUUUUAUUAAUAAAUUUUCUGACAGUCUGCAAUGUAAGUGCGUUCCCGAAUAAUUUAUCGAAAGGUAAGGCGCGUGACAUCAAUGAUGAUUUGGAAGUUAAUCCUGAUGGAGAAAAUCCAACGCCCAUCAUUGGCAUAUUGACACAAGAAGUGAGCAACUUAAUUCUACGUAAAUAUCCGGGUCAAAAUUAUUCGAGUUACAUUGCAGCUUCUUAUGUGAAAUUUGUGGAAGGUGCCGGAGGCCGUGUUGUGCCG